UACGUAGGUGGCAAGCGGUGUCCGGAUUUACUGGGCGUAAAGGGCGUGCAGGCGGUUUGUUAAGUCUAGGGUGAAAGCUCCCGGCUCAACUGGGAGAGGUCCUUGGAUACUGGCAAACUUGAGGGAUGCAGAGGAAAGUGGAAUUCCCGGUGUAGUGGUGAUAUGCGUAGAUAUCGGGAGGAACACCAGUGGCGAAGGCGGCUUUCUGGGCAUUACCUGACGCUGAGACGCGAAAGCGUGGGGAGCGAACCGG
rnacentral:rRNA from 1 species